rnacentral:rRNA from 1 species
UACCAGCACCCCGAGUGGUCGGGACGUUUAUUGGGCCUAAAGCAUCCGUAGCCGGUUCUACAAGUCUUCCGUUAAAUCCAGCUGCUUAACAGAUGGGCUGCGGAAGAUACUAUGGAGCUAGGAGGCGGGAGAGGCAAGCGGUACUCGAUGGGUAGGGGUAAAAUCCGUUGAUCCAUUGAAGACCACCAGUGGUGAAGGCGGCUUGCCAGAACGCGCUCGACGGUGAGGGAUGAAAGCUGGGGGAGCAAACCGG